ACUGAAUUUGCAAACUUCUUGGUCGAAAUUAAAUCCGGGAAGAAGAUUUUGGUCUUGCCCAUGCUAUGGUUCUAAAAAUUGCAAAUUUUUUCGAUGGAGGGACAAAGAAGAAGUGGAUCCAAGAUCAAGUUUUAUCCUUCCAAGAUUGGUGAACAAAAUCAAUGAGUUGGAGCAAGAAUUAUGUAUUAGACAGGUUCAUAUUGACAACUUGAUGAACUCUAAUUUGUUAUUGGAGAGGAGACUCAAUAGAAGGUGGAAAUGGUGUAGGUUCAAUAGGAAGAUACUUUUGUGUAUUUUGAUUUGUGUUGUUGCUAUGUUCAUCAGCAACCAGUAGUUCAAGUGCUGCAUAUUUGGAUUUC